CGCUAUCCAAAUUACUUUCUCAAUACGCGGAUGAAAUUUCCUGCCGUUCGAGCACUUGGACAAGGAGGGAAUCCGAGCGGCGACGACGACAACGACGCCGGCGGUUUCAUCAAUCAGGUGUUUGUUUUCCCUAAUUGCCUUCUAUCUCUAAGUAUAUAAGAGCAUUAAACAUAUGCUUAGCAGAUUGCUGAUUCAACAUAGUAAUUCGAUGCCUAAUUAGCUGAAUUUAGGCUGAAUGAAAGAAAAAUAGAUGGAACUAUUCAGUUUACCACAUUUUAGCAGUAUUUUUACUGAUUUCUGGCUAGAUUCUAUAAGUUUCAUUGAUUGAAUUGGACUGGGAAAUCUGGAAUUUUAGUAAAUUCUUGUCAGGUUAGCUAUUCUGUCUUUCGAUUAUCAAACCUGGAAAAAGAACACUUGAACGCACAAAAAACUAAAGAACACUAAAAUAUGUUGUAUUGCGAUAAGAAAAGUAACAACAUAAACACAACCUAGUCUUUGCUAAUCUCUUAUAAAUUCUCCAAAGAAAAUCCGCAAAAUUUCACUCUCUCCUCGUAACCUUACACCCUCUAUUUAUAGAUAAAUGCCUAACAAAUCAAAUUUACUAACUAUUUACUAAGAUGUCUCUUUUAUCAACCAUACUGAUAUUCUACUAAUGAUCCUACCAUUUUCAUAACUAGAGAUCUUUGGGAGCUCCUUCUUGCAUUGAUUCAAAUUCUUCUUUGAUGAUGAGUGCAUGUUGAGCAACCAGUGUUUAGACCAUUUAUUAUUGAUGUUGUGCCAAAAUUGCUUUCAGGGCAAUGAUUUCUUCUACGGCACAAUAAAUCUUUUUGAAAUUCGAUUAACAAGGUUUCUAUUUCUCUUACCCAAUAAAUCUCUUUUAAGAUAUGCUUGAUAUUGACGGGAAAGCCUAAACUUAAACAUAAUCAAUAUAGAAUUGUAUAGAAAAAUGAAAAGAAAGUAGAGUUUCAAAACAUUAUAUUCUAUGCAAUAAAAUUAGUGAAGAUGGCCUGGAAUUAGAAAACUCAAACAUAGACUUACCGUUUUAAUUCCAAGAUAUACAAGUCCAACAUGUUCGUCAGCCUCUGCUUGGGAAUUUGCUCUUUGUACUCUCUAAGGUAGCAACUGUUUAGUUAAAUUACAUUUCUUGUUUUCAGACAUGGCAUAUUUAGACUGUGUAAUGGCAUCUCUGAUAGUUUGAUUUAGUUGUUGGUAAUAAUUUAUUUUGUUUAUGAGGUAGUGAAACCAUAUAAUAAUUUUAUCUCACUCCAUAGGUAAGACGUUGAGUUAUUUUCUAUAUGUCAUUAACAUGAGUAAAGACAAGCUUUGGAAGUAGUUUACAUUAUCUCUCAUGCCCUUCUCAAGAUUUAUUUGGAACGAAUUUUCUAAAAUAUGUUUUUAAGCGUGUUUUAAGCACUUCAAAAGUCAUUUCAAGCCGGUUCAAAAGUCAUUUCAAGCCGGUUCAAAAUAUGUUGAAGAAAAUGAUAUGAAUAUUUACUCGAUUGUAUCACUUGAUUAUGUGAUAACACAGGAGGAUGUGGAAUUUUUGUUGAAACUGGGGGCAGGUUCCAUAGCAGGGGGAUUUGGAAUAAAGUAUGGAAGCAUAAUAUUUCCAGAGAUAACCAAACCCAACAUUGUAC
rnacentral:lncRNA from 1 species